GACGAACGCUGGCGGCGUGCUUAACACAUGCAAGUCGAACGGAAAGGCCCUGCUUGCAGGGUACUCGAGUGGCGAACGGGUGAGUAACACGUGGGUGAUCUGCCCUGCACUUCGGGAUAAGCUUGGGAAACUGGGUCUAAUACCGGAUAGGAGCCAUCUUUAGUGUGGUGGUUGGAAAGUUUUUUCGGUGUAGGAUGAGCUCGCGGCCUAUCAGCUUGUUGGUGGGGUAAUGGCCUACCAAGGCGGCGACGGGUAGCCGGCCUGAGAGGGUGUACGGCCACAUUGGGACUGAGAUACGGCCCAGACUCCUACGGGAGGCAGCAGUGGGGAAUAUUGCACAAUGGGCGCAAGCCUGAUGCAGCGGCGCCGCGUGGGGGAUGAAGGCCUUCGGGUUGUAAACUCCUUUCGCUAGGGACGAAGCUUUUUUGUGACGGUACCUAGAUAAGAAGCACCGGCUAACUACGUG
rnacentral:rRNA from 1 species